GUGAUGUUAAGGCAAUUUCGAUUAGAUUUGGUCAGGGGCAGAUAACCCCGCAGGUACCUCAUUAUGUAUUCAUAUAUUCAUUAAUGGCGGAGAUUACCUAAGCUGCGUCUAUCGAUAAAACUGUAUGAAAUCAAAUUACAUACAUGCCUGUUAAUUAAAAACAGGUAUCCAUAUGGUGUAAUUUUUGUACUGAAACACGAAUAUUGUAUGUUUGUGCUUUAAUUAUUAUGGUAAACGGUUGCAAUAGCUGUUUUUUGUGCCGAGAUUGUCGGCUUGUGGACACCGCCUCCUUUUGAUUAUCAACCAAUCAGUAGACGAUCGCCGUCGAACAGAUGUUUGUAGUUUGCAGAAUGGAAAGCACCUUGCAGCGGAAAUUAUUUUCACUUCUACGUGAAAAUCUAGCCAGAAAACUGACCUGUCAAAUAUAAGAAACAGAAUGCUAUUCCAGCUUUGAUGAACUAUAAAGUAAUGGUUUGAAUUUGAAAAGCUUUAUUAUUAGACAGGGAUGAUGACCUGCAAUGAGACAGCAGUAGAAAGUUGCAUAUAACUCAUGAUCAUCAUGACCAUUAUGGAAGAUCAGAUCAGAUGAAAAUUAUGUUUAGAAAGCCACUAAAUAUGUCUAUGAAAAGUAGAAAAAAGACAGCAAUUCUAUGUAAAGUACUUAGCAGAAGCAUUGGCUGUUUGAAUACCAAUGUCAGUGUUGGAAUUUAGUAUUUUGAUGCUGAGAGAUAGAGGAACAUUAACUGAACAAUUUAGCUUCUUUUUCAUGUGUCAUUGAAGUUGAUGUUUACCAUCUUAAAAAGCUUUUACCACAGUUAAAAUGAAUUCUAAAUACAGGCAGUUUGGAGAUUUGUGAAUUUUCUUACGAUUGGAGUUUCAAAAUGGAUUUAAUUUAAAAAAAUUAUUUAUUUCACAGAUGAAAUUUGUCGUCUCUUUUAUGAAAUAUUUGAAUAAUCAGCAAUAUAUUUUAAGCAAUACCUUACCAAAUGAGAGAUCUACAGAUAGACAUAUGAAUUUCAGUUGAACUGUGAAGAAGGAAAUAUUCAUUUAUAAGACUUAUAUAAGUGUUUUGUUAUUUUUAUGGCAAUUACGGGAAAGAUGAAUCAAUUCGAUUUAAACAUUACUCAUACCUACAUAUAUACAUGAGAUAUAGGCAUACAAUUUACUGAUGCACCACUAAUGGAUAUACAU